rnacentral:piRNA from 1 species
UGGGUGUUUCCAGACUCUUUUUGCAUCUU